GUGCGGCGCGGGGUUUGUUCUUGCCGCUAUUGGCGGCGCGUCGUGCAGCGGGCUUUGAAAGAGCUCGGUGGACAAGUGAAAGCGGCGGUACUGAGAGGUUUUGGUUAUUUCAGUUGGAGGAUUGCGUUAUUGCCGGUCACCGGCCGCUCGCCCGGGUCAGCAGCAGCGUGCCAGAACCUCGGCUCCAGUAGAUCACCGUGUGAAGGAGCAGGGUCAUGGGUGACAGCGAUGAUGAGUACGACCGGCGGCGCAGGGACAAGUUCCGCCGCGAAAGGAGCGACUACGACCGUUCCCGGGAGAGAGACGACAGGCGGCGGGAUGAUUGGAAUGAUAGAGAGUGGGACCGGGGGAGAGAGCGGCGAAGUCGAGAGUAUCGAGACUAUGACCGAGGGAGAAGGGAGCGUUUCUCUCCACCGAGGCAUGACCUCAGCCCUCCCCAGAAGCGAGUGCGCCGGGAUUGGGAGGAUCACGUUGCGGACCCCUACCACACAGGCUAUGAAAUGCCGUAUACUGGUGGGGGAGGUCCCAGCUAUGGCCCCCCGCAGCCCUGGGGGCACCCGGAUAUUCACAUGAUGCAGCAACACCAUGGGAUUCCCAUCCAGGCCAGUCUUCUUCCCACCCCCAGGUUGGGCAACCUGCACGAGAUGGAGGUGGGUCCUCCACCCCCAGUGAUGAAGACCUUCAAGGAGUUCCUGCUGUCCCUGGAUGACUCUGUUGAUGAGACCGAAUCUGUGAAGCGCUACAAUGACUACAAGAUUGAGUUCCGCCGUCAGCAGAUGCAGGACUUCUUCCUGGCCCACAAGGAUGAGGAAUGGUUCCGCUCUAAAUACCACCCGGAUGAGGCUGGGAAGCGGAAGCAGGAGGCUGACUUUGGCCUUCGCACGCGGCUCAGUGUUUACUGUUACCUGAUGGAGCACGGCUGGUUUGAUGGCCUCUCACUUGACAUUGAUAAGGCCAACAUCAUCAUGAAAGCGUUAGAUGCAGCUGUUAUAAAGAUGGAAGGUGGAACACAAAUUGAUGUAAAAAUUCUAGACCUUGAAGAUGAAGAGGAAAAGACAGACAAAAUGGAGCCUGUGAAGAAGGAGGAGGGGAGGGUCUUAGAUAAUGACAGGAAGGCAGUGGAUAAAGAGAAGGAAGAAGAUGCCAAAAAGGCAGAAGUUGGUGAGCAGACAGGCGAUGCAAAGAUGCAACAGGACAAGGAGGACGGAAAAUCCAAGGAACUGUGCGAUGAGGAGAAGGGCGAGGAUGGGGAAGACAAGGGUGAUACUGCCCAGAGAGAACCAGCCAAGGACAGCUCUGUGCCUGCGAAGGCUGCGAAGAAGCGCAAGAGGAAGCAUAGUGGAGAUGACAGCUAUGAUGAGGAUGAUGCCACUGCCUCCGACUCAGAGUCUGAGCCAGAAAUUGUGCCGCCAGGUGUUGAAAGAAAGGAUGAGGAAGACCCAGGGAAGCAAAAGGAAGAUGAUGAGAAGAUCCAGAAAGAAGAUGAACCGAAGCAGGAGAAGAAGGAGGAAGAAAAGCUCAAAGAAAAACCCAAGGAGGAGAAGAAGGAGACAGAUGUUACUCCGAAGCCCCGGCCACUUCACAAAACCUGUUCAUUGUUCAUGAGGAGCAUUGCUCCAAACAUCUCCAAGGCUGAAAUCAUAUCGCUUUGUAAGCGUUUUCCUGGCUUCAUGAGAGUGGCAUUGUCUGACCCACAACCAGAGCGCAGGUUCUUCCGGAGAGCCUGGGUUACCUUCGAUCGAAGCGUCAACAUCAAGGAAAUCUGCUGGAAUCUCCAGAAUAUCAGACUACGAGACUGCGAGUUGAGCCCAGUGGUGAACCGAGACCUGGCCAGACGUGUCCGCAGCAUCAAUGGCAUCACGCAACACAAGCAGAUCGUACGCAAUGACAUCAAGUUGGCUGCUAAACUCAUCCACUCGCUGGAUGACCGCUCACAGCUCUGGUCAUCAGAAACCGUGAAUGAGGAUGGGAGAGUUGAGAGCCUGUCUUCCCAGAACCCCAUCCUAAAAAACAUCACCGAUUACCUGAUAGAGGAGGUGAGUGCAGAGGAAGAAGAGUUAUUGGGAAAUCCCACUGACACAACUGACGAUGGACCAAAGGAGGGAAAUCCAGAGGUCAACAUCGAGAGAGAUGAGAAGCUGAUUAAGGUUCUAGACAAGCUGCUGCUCUACCUGCGCAUCGUGCAUUCCAUCGAUUACUACAACACCUGUGAAUAUCCAAACGAAGAUGAAAUGCCCAAUCGGUGUGGGAUUGUACACGUGCGCGGACCUCUGCCCCUUAACCGAGUCUCACAGCAUGAAGUGGUGGAGUGGCAGAAGAUGUUUGAGGAGAAAUUGACGCCUCUGUUUAGUGUGAGGGAAAGUCUUUCCGAGGAAGAGGCAUCGAAGAUGGGCAAGAAAGAUCCUGAGCAGGAAGUGGAGAAGUUUAUCGUUGCUAAUACACAGGAACUUGCCAAGGACAAAUGGCUGUGUCCUCUGAGUGGAAAGAAGUUCAAGGGCCCAGAGUUUGUGCGCAAGCACAUCUUCAACAAGCACAGUGAAAAGAUUGAAGAGGUUAAAAAGGAAGUUGCGUUCUUCAAUCACUUCCUGAUGGAUGCUAAGCGACCUGCUCUUCCGGAGAUGAAACCCAAUCAGCCCCCUGCACCAGGAGCCCAGGCAAUGGGUUUGACUCCAGCCAUGGGUUACCCUCAUCCUUCUCCUCAAGGCCUGCUGGGAUUUGGUCAGCCACGUCCCCCUGUCAUGGGAUAUGGAGCGGGGCCUGCCUACCCCCCUCCACAGUAUGCCGGGCGGGGAUCCUACGAUGCAUAUCGAGGACAAGGAGGAUAUCCCGGAAAACCAAGAAACAGCAAUCCCAAAAGCUAUUGGUUUGGCACAGUAGUUCUGUGCCAUCGAAGUCAAUCCUAUGGCCAAUGCGAAUGCGAUGCUACCACCAAUUACUCCGGGUAACCCAAUGAAUACACCUCCUUGAUGUGGGUUUCUGGCCGACGUACGCUGCUCCACAUUCAUGGGGAGUCCUGUAAACACCAACCAUCCUGAGUCCCAGAUCCUCUUUGACCCACAUAAGGAUUUUGCGGGGGGAUCCCAGAAACAUUGUGGAGUACAGAGACCUGGAUGCCCCAGAGGAUGUGGACUUCUUCUGAGCUGCCCCAAUAUGUCCAGCACAGUGUUCAUUAUCGUUCCCUUGGGGGCAGAGGGAACUUGGUGUAGCAAUUGGAACAUUUUGUUGAGGCAGGCGCAAUUGCUAUAAAGUAGUUUUGUUUUCUCUGAAAACAUGACAGACACAUGUUCUCAUUCUGGCACGUCUUCUUUCUUUUACACACACAGCACUGUACAUGAGCGUGCAUACAUGUAAUUUGUCAUUUGGAAAUGUUUGAAAUAAAAAGAAUUGUGAAAUUUGA